CAACCCUUAAGCCCCUGUUGCUUAGCGUUGGGAGCCUACAGAAACCCUCUGUAGUUCCUUAAAGUUAGUGGCGGAGUCGGUUUCACACUCUAGACGUAGUAAAUUUUUAUCUCGCCUAUAGAUGAGCUGGUCCCCUGCCGUAAAACCCCCUAAUUUCUAAA
rnacentral:misc_RNA from 1 species